rnacentral:rRNA from 1 species
UACGUAGGGUGCAGGCGUUAAUCGGAAUUACUGGGCGUAAAGCGUGCGCAGGCGGUCUUUUAAGUCAGAUGUGAAAUCCCCGGGCUUAACCUGGGAACUGCGUUUAAAACUGGAAGGCUUGAGUGUGGCAGAGGGGGGUGGAAUUCCACGUGUAGCAGUGAAAUGCGUAGAGAUGUGGAGGAACACCGAUGGCGAAGGCAGCCCCCUGGGCUAACACUGACGCUCAUGCACGAAAGCGUGGGGAGCAAACAGG